UACGGAGGAUGCGAGCGUUAUCCGGAUUUAUUGGGUUUAAAGGGUGCGUAGGCGGUUUUUUAAGUUAGUGGUUAAACGUCGGGGCUUCACCUUGAUUUGCCAUUAAUACUGUAAGACUCGAGUUCAGACGAGGUAGGCGGAAUAAGUUAAGUAGCGGUGAAAUGCUUAGAUAUCACGAAGAACUCCGAUUGCGAAGGCAGCUCACUGGACUGCAACUGACACUGAGGCUCGAAAGUGUGGGUAUCAAACAGG
rnacentral:rRNA from 1 species